rnacentral:rRNA from 1 species
AUUGAACGCUGGCGGCAGGCUUAACACAUGCAAGUCGAACGAGUGGCGGACGGGUGAGUAAUGCGUGGGAAUCUAGCUUAUGGAGGGGGAUAACUACGGGAAACUGUAGCUAAUACCGCGUAACAUAGGAUGAGCCCAAGUGGGAUUAGGUAGUUGGUGAGGUAAAGGCUCACAAAGCCGACGAUCUCUAGCUGGUCUGAGAGGAUGACCAGCCACAUGGGGAAUGAGACACGGCCCAGACUCCUACGUGAGGCAGCAGUGGGGAAUAUUGCGCAAUGGGGGCAACCUGACGCAGCCAUGCCGCGUGAAUGAAGAAGGCCUUCGGGUUGUAAAGUGCUUUCGGUAGCGAGGCUUUAACUACAGAAGAAGCACCGGCUAACGCCGUGCCAGCAGCCGCGGUAAUAC